rnacentral:rRNA from 1 species
UGGGGAAUAUUGGGCAAUGGACGCAAGUCUGACCCAGCAACGCCGCGUGAAGGAAGAAGGCUUUCGGGUUGUAAACUUCUUUUAACAGGGAAGAGUAGAAGACGGUACCUGUUGAAUAAGCCACGGCUAACUACGUGCCAGCAGCCGCGGUAAUACGGAGGGUCCGAGCGUUAUCCGGAUUUAUUGGGUUUAAAGGGAGCGUAGGCGGAUUGAUAAGUCAGUUGUGAAAGUUUGCGGCUCAACCGUAAAAUUGCAGUUGAUACUGUCAGUCUUGAGUGCAGUAGAGGUGAGCGGAAUUCGUGGUGUAGCGGUGAAAUGCUUAGAUAUCACGAAGAACUCCAAUUGCGAAGGCAGCUUGCUAAUCUGUAUCUGACGCUGAGGCACGAAAGCGUGGGUAGCGAACA